UGCGUAGGUUGUUUGAUAAGUUAUCUGUAAAAUCCCCGGGCUUAACCUGGGCAGGUCAGAUAAGACUGUUGGACUUGAGUACAGGAGAGGGCAGUGGAAUUUUCGGUGUAGCGGUGAAAUGCGUAGAGAUCGGAAGGAACACCAGUGGCGAAGGCGGCUGCCUGGCCUGAUACUGACACUGAGGCACGAAAGCGUGGGGAGCAAACA
rnacentral:rRNA from 1 species